rnacentral:lncRNA from 1 species
GGAGACAGUGGUGCUGCCCAGCUGCAUGUGUCCAGAGGUCACUCUGCUCUCUGCUUGGGGUCAGAAAAGUAGGGAAAAGAAUCGAGUGGACAUGGAGUGCCGGCAUGAGAGCUUUUGCCAAGAUCAAAAUGUUCCCCAUCGCUGUGAGCAGAUGAGAUCUUGGAACCUGGACGCACACAGUCCCAGCUCCAGCAGGGCUUCUGGCAACAACCCCAGUGUCUUCAGCUACAGACACCACCUCUGUGAAUGCCAAGAAAAGCAAACACAGGCCCCAGAUCUCCUGUUGCACCAACUGGAAAGAAGCCCACAGCAGAGGAGCUGAGCUGUGAGGACAAUCUUCCCGUAGCUCUUAAUUUUCCACCAUUCUUCCCCCAUCUGAAUCAAACAAACAAACAACA